CAGCCGCCACGGGAAUACGGAGGGUGCAAGCGUUGUCCGGAUUUAUUGGGUUUAAAGGGUGCGUAGGCGGCCUAAUAAGUCAGUGGUGAAAGCCUCCAGCUUAACUGGAGAACUGCCAUUGAUACUGUUAGGCUUGAGUAUACUUGAGGUAGGCGGAAUUGACAGUGUAGCGGUGAAAUGCAUAGAUAUUGUCAAGAACACCAAUUGCGAAGGCAGCUUACUAAAUUAUAACUGACGCUGAGGCACGAAAGUGUGGGUAUCAAACAGGAUUAGAUACCCCAGUAGUCCCUGUCUCUUAUAA
rnacentral:rRNA from 1 species